UACGAGGGGGGCGAGCGUUGUUCGGAAUUAUUGGGCGUAAAGGGUGCGUAGGCGGUUUGGUAAGUCUUAUGUGAAAUCUAUGGGCUCAACUCAUAGUCUGCAUGAGAAACUGCCGGGCUUGAGUAUGGGAGAGGUGAGUGGAAUUCCUGGUGUAGCGGUGAAAUGCGCAGAUAUCGGGAAGAACACCCGUGGCGAAGGCGGCUCUCUGGGACGGUACUGACGCUGAGACGCGAAAGCGUGGGGAGCGAACAGG
rnacentral:rRNA from 1 species